ACUACAGGAUUCCCUUAGUAGCGGCGAGCGAACAGGGAAAAGCCCAGAACCGAAUCCUGCAGAGAAAUCUGCUAGGAAUUGUGGUGUUUGGUCCAAUCCUUACGGCAUGCCGGAGUUGUUCUAAGUCCACGUGAUUGUGGCAUCAAGCCCAGAGAGGGUGCAAGGCCCGUACGAACAAUACGGUAUGUCCAGGGAUAGUUCCUAGAGUCGGGUUGUUUGGGAAUGCAGCCCAAAUCGGGUGGUAAACUCCAUCCAAGGCUAAAUACAACACGAGGCCGAUAGCAAACAAGUACAUUGAUGGAAAGUUGAAAAGAACUUUGAAGAGAGAGUUCAACAGUGCGUGAAACCGCUCAGGAGGAAACGGACAGUGCUGAAGGAAGGAACUGGUAUUUGUGCUUCAUCGCUGUUAUGCAACUGCUCUAGGAUAGCUCUAUUUGGGUGUCCUUUGUGGGUGUACUCAGUUGAUGUUGUGCUAUUGCCGAUUCCUGACACCAUAAUCGGUAUCCGUGCUGGCCUGUCAUUUUGGGUAAGGUAGCUUGGGAUUCAUCCCGAGUGCUAUAGGCCCGUUGUACAGCGUUGGCUGGGUACUGUUAUGCAAAUAGACAUGGAUGUGUAUAAAUGUUGGCGUUGUCAUGUGAGCCCAGGAGUUACACGCAAGUGGAUCUCUGGGGUGUUGCAGAUAUCUUAGCAUCUCUAUACACUUCUGUGGUAUUAUGGUGCAAUUGUAGGUAACUGGCCGACCCGUCUUGAAACACGGACCAAGGAGUUUAACAUGCUCGCGAGUCAUGGGGUUUUACGAAACCUAAAGGCGAAGUGAAAGUAAAUACUUGUUUUAUGCAAGUUAAGGUAGGACCUUGGCUUCAAUGUGUGGCAACAUACAUGGGCUGAGUGCACUACCAGCUCGUCCCAUGCUUUAUUAAGUGGGGCGACGCAAGAGCGAGAAUGUUGAGACCCGAAAGAUGGUGAACUAUGCUUGCGUAGGUUGAAGCCAGAGGAAACUCUGGUGGAGGACCGUAGCGAUUCUGACGUGCAAAUCGAUCGUCAAACGUGAGUAUAGGGGCGAAAGACUAAUCGAACCAUCUAGUAGCUGGUUCCUUCCGAAGUUUCCCUCAGGAUAGCUGGUACUCGGGAAACAAACAGUUUUAUCCGGUAAAGCGAAUGAUUAGCAGUAUUGGGGAUGAAAUAUCCUCAACUGAUUCUCAAACUUUAAAUGGGUGAGAAGCUCAACUCUCUUAACAUGGAGUUGGGCAUUGAAUGUGAGUGCCAAGUGGGCCAAUUUUGGUAAGCAGAACUGGCGCUGUGGGAUGAACCAAACGUCUGGUUAAGGAGCCAAACACGACGCUCAUCAGAAACCACAAAAGGUGUUAGUUGAUUUUGACAGCAGGACGGUGGCCAUGGAAGUCGGAAUCCGCUAAGGAGUGUGUAACAACUCACCUGCCGAAUCAACUAGCCCUGAAAAUGGAUGGCGCUAGAGCGUUGGUCCCAUACCAGACCGUUACCGUGAAAUGCGAUGUAUGCGGUGACGAGUAGGAAGGCGCUGUGGUGAGCAUUGAAGCCUAGGUUGUAAAACCGGGUGGAGCCGCCACGGGUGCAGAUCUUGGUGGUAGUAGCAAAUAUUCAAGUGAGAACCUUGAAGACUGAAGUGGAGAA
rnacentral:rRNA from 1 species